rnacentral:rRNA from 1 species
UACGGAGGGAGCUAGCGUUGUUCGGAAUUACUGGGCGUAAAGCGCGCGUAGGCGGCUUUGUAAGUUAGAGGUGAAAGCCCGGGGCUCAACUCCGGAACUGCCUUUAAGACUGCAUCGCUUGAAUCCGGGAGAGGUGAGUGGAAUUCCGAGUGUAGAGGUGAAAUUCGUAGAUAUCGGGAGGAACACCAGAGGCGAAGGCGGGCUACUGGGCUGAUACUGACGCUGAUGCGCGAAAGCUAGGGGAGCAAACAGG